CGGCGCGCCUAACACAUGCAAGUCGAACGAGCAAAGAGGAGCUUGCUUCUCUGAGCGAGUGGCGAACGGGUGAGUAACGCGUGAGGAACCUGCCUCAAAGAGGGGGGACAACAGUUGGAAACGACUGCUAAUACCGCAUAAGCCCACGGGUCGGCAUCGACCAGAGGGAAAAGGAGCAAUCCGCUUUGAGAUGGCCUCGCGUCCGAUUAGCUAGUUGGUGAGGUAACGGCCCACCAAGGCGACGAUCGGUAGCCGGACUGAGAGGUUGACCGGCCACAUUGGGACUGAGACACGGCCCAGACUCCUACGGGAGGCAGCAGUGGGGAAUAUUGCACAAUGGAGGAAACUCUGAUGCAGCGACGCCGCGUGAGUGAAGAAGUAAUUCGUUAUGUAAAGCUCUAUCAGCAGGGAAGAUAGUGACGGUACCUGACUAAGAAGCUCCGGCUAAAUACGUG
rnacentral:rRNA from 1 species